AAAUAAGAAGCGAUAUAUUGCAAUCAGUUUCGACCUGAUCCUAGAUGAUUACAUCCUUAUUUA
rnacentral:tRNA from 1 species